AUAGGGAGACACCAUGAUCACGAAGGUGGUUUUCCCAGGGUGAGGCUCAUCCAUUGCACUCUGGGUGUGCUGACCCCUGCGAUUUCCCCAAAUUGGGUAUAUAUAUAU
ensembl:snRNA U1 U1 spliceosomal RNA